rnacentral:rRNA from 1 species
AGAUUGAACGCUAGCGGGAUGCUUUACACAUGCAAGUCGAACGGCAGCGCGGACUUCGGUCUGGCGGCGAGUGGCGAACGGGUGAGUAAUAUAUCGGAACGUGCCCAGUAGCGGGGGAUAACUACGCGAAAGCGUGGCUAAUACCGCAUACGCCCUACGGGGGAAAGGGGGGAUUCUUCGGAACCUCUCACUAUUGGAGCGGCCGAUAUCAGAUUAGCUAGUUGGUGAGGUAAAGGCUCACCAAGGCGACGAUCUGUAGCUGGUUUGAGAGGACGACCAGCCACACUGGGACUGAGACACGGCCCAGACUCCUACGGGAGCAGCAGUGGGAAUUUGGACAAGUGGGGGAAACCUGACUCCAGCCAUCCCGCGUGUGCGAUGAACGGUCCG